rnacentral:rRNA from 1 species
GAUGAACGCUGGCGGCGUGCCUAAUACAUGCGAGUCGAGCGAACAGACGAGGAGCUUGCUCCUCUGACGUUAGCGGCGGACGGGUGAGUAACACGUGGAUAACCUACCUAUAAGACUGGGAUAACUUCGGGAAACCGGAGCUAAUACCGGAUAAUAUAUUGAACCGCAUGGUUCAAUAGUGAAAGACGGUUUUGCUGUCACUUAUAGAUGGAUCCGCGCCGCAUUAGCUAGUUGGUAAGGUAACGGCUUACCAAGGCAACGAUGCGUAGCCGACCUGAGAGGGUGAUCGGCCACACUGGAACUGAGACACGGUCCAGACUCCUACGGGAGGCAGCAGUAGGGCAUCUUCCGCAAUGGGCGAAAGCCUGACGGAGCAACGCCGCGUGAGUGAUGAAGGUCUUCGGAUCGUAAAACUCUGUUAUUAGGGAAGAACAAAUGUGUAAGUAACUAUGCACGUCUUGACGGUACCUAAUCAGAAAGCCACGGCUAACUACGUG